GCAGAGCUGCAGGAGGAGUUUAAGUUUCAGGGCUUCCUCUCCGUGUCGCACAGGCACGCACGCACGCGCCGCCCGUGUGCCUGGGUGUACGCACGCCUGCCGACGGCCGCGGCCUUUCCUUUGGGCAGCGAGUUGGGUUUCUGCCUUCGUGCAAUCUUACUUGCUUUCUUUUCUAGGCUGGCAGCUCCGAUUCUGUCUUCGCUAAAAUGAACAAGCCAAGGCUCUUCUACAGCACCUAUUCAACACGGUACUCCAGAACACGCUAGGGCAGGGAAUCCUGUUCCUCCUUAUCACUUCCCUGUCUCGGGGAUUUUGGUUUUGAUUCCAUAUUAACCUGCUUUCUUAUGAAAGCUCAGGCUACAGUCAAAUUGUCCUUAUUGAGUAUACUUAACCCUACCUCUGUUCUUGAGCCUUUUUUCUUCUUAGCUGUAUUGUACAAGGGAAAAAAAAAAACACAUUCAUGUUCUUCAAGGACAGAGCUGGCUUCCAAUGCAAUGGGGUAACAGAAGCAGAUCGAGGACCACUGGCAGGACCCACAGACACCUCCCUUCCUCCUCCCAGUCCCCUUUCCAUCAGCUGUGCACUCUGCUCCAUCCUAAUGAUGGCUUGCAGCCCUGCUUAUCUGAGCCACACGUGGAGGUAGUCACUAUGCGUGCACACAGCAGAAGAGACCCACGGCAGAAGGAGCACGUAUUUAGAAAACAGAGAGAGGCAAAAGGUUGAGAAGGGAAAUAACCUUGCAUCUUCAUACAAACACAGCUAAUUUACCUGACCAAGGUUGCUUCCCAUGUCCACAGCAAAGCCAAAAGCAGAAAUUAGAUUUCAGUGUCUUGCUGAAGUGAACAUCAGGCUCCCCCUCCAGUGCACCUCAGUAGCAAGGACGUUUCUUCCAGCUGAUCACCCUUGGUGGGUAUUGGGAUACGCCGUGACAGAAGCACUGUUUGCUUCUCGGGAAAAUAAAAACUCCUGCUGGCAAUAGCAUCAGCUCCAGAGGAAGCCACGCGUGGAAGUGGGGCUUUACUGGUUGGUGUGGGAGGAGAGGAGAGGAUGCGCUUACCAAGUUCAUCUCAAGGCUUCUGAGGAUGAAUAACAGGAGGUGCUACCGUGGUUGAACUUUCUACCAUCAAUACCUCAUCCACCGACAUCUCGAGAGAGACGUUUUUUAUUCCUCCUGUACCAACCCAAAGCUACCUAUCCUGCGCUGGAGAGAAACCACACAGUCCCAAGGCACCUGCAACACGCUGCGCACAGAUCUCAGAGGGAUGCAGUGCUGUGCACGUGGUGACAAUGCACAAGAUGACCUCACUGUCCUUUUCUUUCCUCUUUACGGUCUGUCCUCAGCGGAUGAAACCAGAGACUGAGACACUAAGAUCAGAGCCAAGACAAGAGAAACGUCUCUCGUGACAACAAAGACGCACUGCCCAGGUGAGAGCCGAGUUCAUGGACACUGCUGUGGCUCCUGCAGAGCAGGGACCCAGACAGAGACACAUCUGCUACCUAGGAAAGCUCGCUGGCAUAAGGACUCCCCAGAUUGCACUUGAUGUCAGCAGAGUGUCAGCUGAUCUUUUGGCAGCUGGCCUGCUCGUGUCUAUCCACUUCUGUUCUCUUUUUCUCCGUAAUGCCAACAUCUGCCCAUGUUUUGCAUUGACAGGGACGGUCAGCAAGCCCCUAAUAACGCAUUAAACCUCAAUCAAAUGACGCACCAUUUCCGAUUAACAUCUGCCCAAUAUUACUCUCCUUAAUUCAGAGCUCUGCCUCUUCCUAAAAAACUAGAUAGUGCACGUGUGGAAGCAUCUGUAAUCUCAAGCGUCACGUACUUGCCUUGAAAAUCAGAAAAAUCAAAAAUAACAGAGAAGGCACUGCAGAAAACACCUGGUCUCCCCAGGCCUCUGAGAAUAUUAUAGUUUGUUCCACCAACACAGACACAGUUUUCCCAUUCCAAACCAUCUUUAUUUUUCUCUACAAUGCACAACUACCUCUCUGUUUCAAACCAGCAUGCCCUGGUUGCAGCGCUGGUACAAUGAUUUCAGCUGAAUCCAACAAAAGAGAUGACCAAACCCAGGUGUAAACUCGUUUUGAGGCACUUAGAUGUUACCAUAUGACUUAAACAUGACAUUUCCUUGCACCAUCAAACAAAACACUGUAGUCUGGUGGGAAUUGUCUACAUCCACUCAUUUUGCUUAUUCACUAUACCCUACACAUUUCUGAGUUAAUUUCUUCUUGCUGUCUUCACAUUGCAGGACUUGCAGGUCUCAUGCCAGUCUUUGAGACCUGUGAGCGGUAGGUUCUUAAAAUGCCCCCGAAAGAACAAUUGCUCGUGCUGGAGAAAGAAAGUAGAAGUCAAGACUUGCUGUUUUCUCAAUGCCAUCUGCUGCGCUGCAUAAACUAAAUUAAAAAAAAAAAAUCAAUGUAAAACUGUGAAUGUGAAGCUGGCCAAUUUUGCCUGCUAUUCCUCAGCAUUUUUUCAAUAAAACGUACUCCGCCUUAUUUGCACGAAGAAAGAACUGCGAUGCAAGAUUUCUGUGUCUGCAUGACAGCUUCUCAGUGCUUUGUCUUGUCUUCUCAACUCAUCUGUACUCCUUUGCAAGUUAACCAGCUCCGAUUUUUAGCAGGGAAAUCAUCUGCUGUUACGUUCCUCAUUAGUAAGGUCAUGACUAACGUACCUACCUAGGCACGUCAGGGACCUCGUCCUGUUAGUCCUAUUCUUGGUGUCCUUUGCCCUUGCCUCGCAAACAAAGCCCUGUUAUCAGUACAGUAUGAUACAGCACUACACCAAGAGCUAAGAGGAGCCCCAAACGCAUGUGGAGAAGUAACAGAUCUAAUAAGGAGGAAAGCCAAAGUUGAAUCUUUUUCAUUUUUCUCUCUCCAAGUUCAUUAUUUCUUCUUUCAAAAUAAAUUAUGUAACAAUUCAAUCAGAAAGAGCUAUCCAGAAGCUCACAAAAUUGCCUCGUGUGAAUCCAGCCUCUAUUUGUGGUGCACCAUAAAUUAUUCCCCAGAUUAAUGCCACCAAGUAUCACUGGGACCAUCCGAAGAUUAGGGUACCGCACACGCUGGACUGCGGAUCAGAAUCGAGACCAGUAGGAGCUUGAGGUGGAAAAGCUUAUUAAAAACACUUAUGAUGGAAAAAACGUUUAUUUCAUGAUUACUCUAAAUUUUGACAUUCAGAACUUAAUUGACUUUAGAUCAUUUGGGAUUUUUCCCAAAAUCAGACCGUGGAAAAAAAAACAACAAUGGUAACUGUGCUACUUAGAAGUAAUAUUUUGACAUCUGUAUCCUGUGAUUCUACAAAGUCUCCAUCCACUCAGUUUCCUAUCAAGUGUAAGGCACAUACGUUCAUUCACAGAUUGUAGUGAUAGGACAAGGGGCAAUGGCUUUAAACGAGAAGAGGUGAGGUUUAAAUUAAGUAUUUGGAAGAAAUUUUUUACUGUGAGGGUGGUGAGGCCCUGGCACAGGCUUGCCCAGAGAAGAUGUGGCUGCCCAUCCUGGAGGUGUUCAAGGCCAGGCUGGAUGGGGCCUUGAGCAACCUGAUCUAGGUGGGAGGUGCCCCAGUCUUAAUUUCUGCUUAGUGCAUUAACAUUGGAUGAGCUUUCUUUCGAGACAGUGUUGAGCAAUUUUGAGAGAAUCCUUGGUUUUGGAAGGAAGACAUCUGCUUAUCUACCAUCCAACCCUUGUAAGGCUGGUUCGAACCAACUGCAGAACUAUUUAAAGAACCAUUGAAUAAAUGGCAGUCCCAUUCUUACAAAGACGCACUCCAAAAGCCAUUUGCUUUUGCAAAUUGGGGAUUUCAAACACUCGUGAAAUAAUUCUAGAGAUAAAGAAGAUCUACUGAAAAGGGCUGACUGUAAGUCACGAUCACUGAUGCAAGUGUAAGCCAGCAACAUCCAUAAAGACAAGGAGUGUAAAAAAUAUUGCAUCGAUUACUAUAGCUCCAAAUAGCAUUAAUUCUCUGCUAAUUUCUCUUGGGAGAAAUUUCUCUUCAUCAGAGGGCUUCUGAAAUGAAACACAGUACAUUCUUCUUUGCUGAUUGUAUCGAGAUUGAAUGGAGACACCGAGCUGAACAAAGAGAACGAAGACGGAGCACCUGAACUGCACCAAGUCUUCAAUGCGAUCAGAGACAGAAAUUGUCUCCCUGACACAAGAACAGUCAUUUCCAGCUUCAGAACCACUCAUUUUGCCCGAGAACCAGCGAACUAUCCCUAGCUCCGUUAAUUACUGUAGAGCACUGGCUCACUGAGGAAAUCACCCGUAAGGAUGAAUACUGGUGUUAAGCCUCAGCUUCCUCCAGUCCUGCCCAGGCACAGCAGGAUCCCGUAAUUGUGUGAUCCAAACCCCUAACUAGGGACGGACUCUUAAAAUAGGGCUCUUAAAACAGCAUAACAGCUGUGGCUAAGGUGGGAAAGGAAACUGACACAAUAACAUUAAAAUUAAAGGAAGACGAGUAAAA